rnacentral:rRNA from 1 species
GACGAACGCUGGCGGCGUGCUUAACACAUGCAAGUCGAGCGGUAAGGCCCUUUCGGGGGUACGACGAGCGGCGAACGGGUGAGUAACACGUGGGUGACCUGCCCUCAGCUCUGGGAGUAAGCCUGGGAAACCGGGUCUAAUACUGGAUAUGACUCCAUGACGCAUGUUGUGGGGUGGAAAGCCUUGUGCGGCUGAGGAUGGGCCCGCGGCCUAUCAGCUUGUUGGUGGGGUGAGGCCUACCAAGGCGACGACGGGUAGCCGGCCUGAGAGGGCGACCGGCCACACUGGGACUGAGACACGGCCCAGACUCCUACGGGAGGCAGCAGUGGGGAAUCUUGCGCAAUGGGCGAAAGCCUGACGCAGCGACGCCGCGUGAGGGAUGACGGCCUGG